GACGACAUAGUUUAAGCUUAGAGAUGGUUGCUCUGCAAGUAGCCGGUGAGGAAAUUCUCUGUUGUUG
rnacentral:tRNA from 1 species